CUGACUGCCACUAGGGAAGGAUCUCUGGUUGGAGAUUCCUCUCUUGUGGAGUUUUUUCCUGCAAGCCUAGAUGCUCAGAUAUGGGAUCAAUUCAGUUCCUGCCACCGGUGAAAACAUGAAAAGCUGGCCUUAGCUGGGCUCUCUGUAAUUGCUUGAAUCAGUCUUGAAUUUGCCUCAUACCGCAAGACCAAGUCACGAAGUGUUCUGUCCUUGUACACUUGAUAGAAGAGUAAAUCAUAUCCAGUGAAUUAAUUGUAAAGGGUACAUUUAAUUGUCAUUUUUGCAGGAGGAAGUAAUGUGAAGAAAGGAAUGCCAGAAUAUGCAACAGCUCAGCACUACUUAGAAAUCCAUUUACUCUUAGAACAAUAUAAGCUACAACAUUUAGGUACCACUUGAAGCUUUCAAGGGUUCAGAGUGUUACUUUCAAUUACUAACUGAUAGUGCAUAAAAUUAUACUGUAAAAUAAAAUAGGAAUUUCUUAUCAAGUAUUAAGAUACAAUGCAUUUCAGAUGUUUACUGCAUAGUUAAUUUUAUGCUGGAACUUUGAAAAUAUAUUUGAAUUAAUAAAUCUGAAUGUUUACUCAUUUAGAUAUUUUUUUUUUUAGAAAGUUAGUUUACUUUGAUACUGGUGUACCUACACACUCGCCUUUUUGAGGGAGAUGUCUAGCAAAUCUAUACAGCUGCAUAAGUCUUGAAUGGAAAUAUCUUUUAUGGUUACAUCUUCCCUGUACAGUUCUCUUGACCCUGAGGUGUUUUCUUGACUACAAAUGCACCUUGCCAGAGUAUAAUGUUUAGUUGGCUUAUUAUAGAUCAAAGUAGACAAAAAAGCAUAUUCAGACCUUCCUGAAUUUCAGAAAUGCUGAGUUAUGUAGCAGUUAUGUCCAUCUCUACUCUCUAUAUACUCUAGUAUAUCAGAUUGGCACUAGCCAGGAAAUAACUUGUUCAUUAUGAUGUACUUACAGAGAAUAAUAAUAAUAUUAAUAAAAACAAUCAAAGAAAUCAACCUAAUUUCCUAAUUAGGCUAUAUGUGUUUGAGGAACUUGAAUUUGGCUGUGACUCUCAGUAUCAUGGUACUAGAUGCUAACUGAGACAGUUCUGAACAGUUUUAGUUUAAAUGUCCAAAUUUCUGUUAUCCUUAGUAGCUGUAACCAGAGGGGAGAGCUUAUUGAAAACAGGAACAUGUUGAUUUAAUGAAGUAGAGAACCAUUGUUUUUGUUUUUUUUCUUGAAAACUGCUGAACACCUCCAAGAAAACGGCACACUUGUGGACAAAUAAUUUGAGCUCUGAAAAUAUUCCUGAAUAUGGACAGUUUUUAUUGUUAUUACUUUUAUUAACACCAAGAAUGUCUUUAAAACCAAAUCCUUUUACAGCAAUAUCACAUAGAUGGUAGUGGAGGUCAUGAGCUCAUCCAGCUUUUAUGGAUAACUUAUAAUUGUUAAAACCUUAUAAUGGUUUCUGCAGUGGAAUUCAAUAUACAUAGCUUAAAAAAAAAAGAACAGAAAAACCUGCUGUGAAGCCCUUGCAGAGCUGAGUGAAUAGGGAGCACAAGAGGAGUUAUCUUUUUGAGCAGUUUUUAUUGACUCUCCAAGAUCAUGUAAGUAAUAAAAGGAAAUGAUGUUUUUGUAAGAAUGGAAAGAUCCUUAGAGAAAAGGUGACUGUGGCUGUUUCUGGAACUUGCUCAUUUCAGCGUUGUUAAUACUGGACACCUGCAAGUAAAUAGUCAAAACUGUUAAAAAAAAAAAUCUAAUCAGAAUUCAACAUUAUUUCCAGUCUAGCUGUAAUACAUAUGAUCUGUCUAUAUAUGUGAUUUGUUUAUUAUUUAAACUUACAUUGUAAAAUUCGCAAAAAAAAAAAAAGAAAUUUAACUUUCUUUCACAAUCUUUUCUACUUGAUUGGAGUAUCUUCUUUGAAUGGCAGAAGGUCUCCUCAAGAAUAAAACAUUCCAUCUGGAAACACAGGGCUUGUGACAAUGUGCUAACCCUGAAGAUAUUAGAAACUUUACCCAGCAGGUUUAAGUGAGAAAGAUGGUUCUAUUAUGAUGUUUGUCAUAUAUCAACUACUUCUGAAAGAGGUAUUUCAGUUUUUAGAGCCCUGUCUCCUUGGAAUCUCUGGAACUUCUGACAAAGGUUUUAGAAUGUAUUUAUUUUAUCUGUUCUUGUUAUUUACCUGGUUGUCUUAUGUAUGUGUUGUUUUAUCUAGAGCCUAACAAUUUCCAGAGUUGUUGUCUAAAUGCUUGUUCUGACAUGAUUACAACUGUUUAGUUUUGCCAUUUCACAUUCAUCUGCAGAAAUAUCUAAAACAUGACCUUCCAUUUGUGUAAACUGAGUAAUUCAGAGUAUCACCCUGAUGGAUAGCUACUGAACCCAUUCUCCUUUUCUAGAUGUGAAAUGCCUUUUCCAAAACAUCCUUGUUUAGUCAUUGGUGGUUUUUCUAAUAAGAACUUAGUCCUACAUAUGAUCAAUAAUCACUAAAGUACAAACGUUUUUUAGCAUUCAUUUUAUUAGUCCUUCUAAUGACUGUUCUGCCUUGGUAAAUCAAUUUGAUGGAUUCUUUUGCUCUGCAGUUGCUUAAUAGUCUGAAAUGAUACAUUUGUUCUAAUUGUUUUAAUCCAUUGAUUAGUCUUUAUAAUUUUGUGUUAUAAUAUCACACUUUUGUACUCCAUUUUUGUUUUUCCUUAUCCUCUUUUUCCUUGCAUUCAUUUCUAGCCUUUAUCUCAGUACACAUGAUUUUCAUCUUUUUUAAAAUCUGUCAUUUUAAGGAUGAAUCCUUUUUGUCUUGCCUUCUUUGGCCUUUAUUUGUACAAUAUUGUCAAGCUAUUGUUAUUGAUGUUUCCAAACUUACAUUUGAACAGGUUUUUUUCAAUGCUAUGCAUGUGGAUCAGUUUGUAAGUAUUCACAAAUCAUCGCCAUUGAGACGCAUGCAUGCCUCCACAGUCUAGGAAAAUAUGUCAGCUGAAACAUUAACAAUAUGUUUAAUCAGCAGUAGGGCCAGAGCUCAUCUGAGUAGCAGAAAUUGAAGGUUUUAGGCAGAGCAGUACACUCUGCGAUGCAGAAUAAUUUUCAAGAAUACAAAACUUUAGCAAAUUAAGGACAUCAAGCUAAAUUUAUGGUCAGUAGUAGCAAUGGGCCGUCUGGAAAUUUAUCUGUUAUAAUGGACUUUAGAAUUGUUCCAACUGCUGAUGAGGUAAGAUGUCAGCUCUGUCACGUUGGUGAGGCUGACUGACUUCAUUAGCUAGUUGGUUUUACCAUACUCAGCAUCCGUUUUGAGCAGUGAAUUGGCUGCUCAUUACUAAAAUGACCAUGGUAGAAAGGAGGAAUAGCCCUGAAUGUUAAACUUACUCGCCGUCACUACAAAUGAUCACUAAACUGGAAAUCAUUUCGGUGCAUUUAGACUCUCUCAAGAUUGAUAGUAUUACCAUCAUAUGGAUGUCAUGGGCAAUCAGUGUAAGCGCUGGUAUACAAAUGGUUCACUGGUAAUCUUAUUCUCAUGUGAACGCAGAUUUCCAUAAACCAAAGAACUGAGAAAAAGUAAAAACAAAAACCAGAGCUAAUUCUGUAAACCAUUUUCUAAUUAAAGAUCCAACUCAGGCUGCUUCACUGCUUACUUCGUUUGUUUGACCUAAUUUGUUCCUGAAAGAAUGAAAAAAAGACUUCCUUCAGGUUGUUGUUCCUUUAUUGACAAAGGACCUCAGAAUUGCGUGUUCUUAAAAAAAUUUGUGGAUAGAGAUCUAUGCAGAUUCCUAAAGAUUUAGAAAACAAAACAUUACAUACUAUGGUCUGGUACAGUUUUGGGGUAUUACAGUUUUAGCAUACUUGUCUUGGAAGAUUAAGUGCUACAAUGUGGCUUGGUUCUGGUGCCAGGAGCAAUUUAGAUGCUUAUCUGUUGGAAUAAAAUCAUUGUACUGGGCUUGAAGAUUUUCUUCUUCGCAUUAGAUGUUACUGAUGUUUCAGAAUGAAAAUAACAUACAGAAUAAGCCAUCUCUUGGAUUUGUUAUAUUUGGUCAUAUGUAGUCUCUAAAACAAAGCUUACUGAAACCUUUUGGAAAAGGAAUUUAAUUUUUACUCAUGCUGAAUCAGCCACAGUUCCCUUCUCUAGGGUAUGAAAAUGACAACUAAAUUAUUUACUGGCUAUAGGUGUUUAUACUUGUUCAUUUUACCCUAAAGCAUAUGAGUUUCUGCAAGCAAUUAAAUGUAGUUAGCAGUUUUCACACUAAUGUAAACAUUUGUAUGCAGUAAUUGGUGCUUCUUGCCAUUCAUCCAUAAUGAAGAAAAAUAUAUUACUGAUGGCUGCUAUCUAGUACUUCAUAAUUUUCUUUACUUGAAUAGGGUUGCUUUGACCCUUUAAGAAACA